GCCAUGGGGGAAGGCUUUGCCCUGCUGGCAGGGCACCCUGCUUUCGCUAAAGCAGCUGGGGCCAUCGACGGGUUCCACAUCAAAAUUAAAUGUCCUGGCGGCCCUGAUGUUACUACGUGAACAGGAAGCUGUAUCCAUCCAUGGUGCUGCAGGCAGUCUGUGACCAUCAGGGUUGCUUCAUUGACACCUUUGUGGGCUUCCCAGGAAGCGUGCAUGAUGCACGCAUCCUGCGAAAUAGUUUGAUUUACCUGGCUGGCAAUUACCCUCCACCAGGCCAUUUCAUCUUGGGUGAUGGUGGCUAUCCAUACCUUACAGCCGAUAGCCCUUAUCACACCAUAUAAGCGGCCACUCUGAGGCAUGGCAGAGCAACGGUUUAACACUUAUCACUCUCGGGCCCGCUCAAUUGUUGAGCGGGCCUUUGGGAUGAUGAAAACCAGCUUCAGGUGCAUCUUUUUAGAGGCACUUGCAGUGCAUAGUGAGUUUGUGCCAAAAGUAUGUCAUUUCAUAAUUAUCCAUAUUUGUCUGUUUAACUUUCUUAUUGUACAUUAUAAUUGUAAAAAAACUUUUAUGGAUUAACCUUAUUAGUACACCUUCAUUUACAUCAACGUUCCUGUUUGUCUCUUUAAACCUUUUCCUUGUGCAGGUGGUGACUGCGUGUGCAGUACUGCACAACAUUUGUGUUGGUGUGGGCGAUGACCUCCCAGUGGAGGAUGGGGCCAUGGAGGGAGAUGACCCCUCCUCCUGAAGGAGAAUGUGGCACCGAGUCACAGAUUGGAGCUCCUUGGCGUGCGGCCCUGGCCAAUGCCAUUACCCCUCUUGAAGUGGCUCCACAGGACCACAACUACUUUGUUCUGCCUGUGACCGGACCAAGACAUACAUUUUAACAUAACAUUUUUUGGGGAGAGAGAAGAAACGGUCAAACCGCUCCCUUGACUCCACCUCUCUCCUCUCAUCCGCCUGCCGCUGGUAAAGGAUAUCCUCCCUCACCAGAAGCAGGAAUGGAUCCUCCCUCCCUCUUCUCCCUGCUCCGGCC
ensembl:lncRNA